CGGGGGUCUCUGCGCUGUGCGGAUGCCGAGCUGGUGGCUGGGCGGGAGGCCUCGGCCGCCCUCAGCCCGGCAGGCCGGGGCUGUGAGGGCUCGGAAGGAGCGGCCGCUCCGUGCUCGCUCUGUUCCCCCGAGUGUCGCGGUUCCGAUGAGCUCCCAGCGCUGCCGGGGCCGGUGAGGGGGGUCCGGGUCCGCUCCUGCCGGCGCGGUCUGAGGGCGCCUGGCAGAACUGCAACCAAAGCGUCCGGCGUGCUGAGGUGUCACAGGGAACAGGGAUUGCGCUGCUCAGGUUGUUUGCAAAGUCUGGAAGGAAAUGACACGAAUUUAGAGGCGUUUACAGUAUUUCAGCACUGAGCAGAAGCUUAUUUAUUGCGAGAUGAGCCUACGAAAUCAUUGCGGGUACAAGGAGUCCAAAGUGUAUUUUAUUCCUUAAAUGCUAUGAUUAUAAACAGAUCCAGCGGCUUCAGAUUCAUACCCAAAAGUCAUGGGCUGAGGUUUCAUUUAGCUUUAUCAGAUUCAAUUUUAUAAUGAAACUAGGAUGGGGUUUUGGAUAGUUUUUUCUAGAAAAAAGGGCCUUUAAGGUCAUCCCAUUCCACCCCGGCCCUGGCAGGGACAUGUUCGAGUAUCCCAGGUUGCUCCAAGCCCUGUCCAGCCUGGCCUUGGGCACUGCCCGGAUCCAGGGGCAGCCACAGCUGCUCUGGGCACCUGUGCCCAGGCCUGCCCACCCUCACAGGGAACAAUUCCUUCCUAAUUUGACUGAACUAACAUUGUUGAUAGCACGUUUUCUUUUUCUUUUUUUCUUUUUUUUUUUUUUGUUUAUUUUAACUAACACAAAUGGCUUAUAUUGACACACAGGAACGCAGGGAUAUAAGUGAAGAGGCAUAAGUUUCUUCCCUCAUUCUGUUUGCAGCUCCACUUGACUUUGGUUUUGAUUUUAAAGCAUUAUUAAUGAUGAAAGUAACAUACAAACCCCCUUUUUUGUUUGUUUCUUAUGUUCUGGGUAGUUUUCCUUUCUGUCUUUUAUGUGAUUAGUCUAUAUAUAAGGUUUUUAGAACUGUUCCUGUUUAUGCAGGAGUCUGGCUCUGUGAGGCAUUGCCUUAAUUGGUUUUUAGAUGCUGUCGUGAGUAACUCAGAUAAAUAAUACAAAUCAGGGUUGGAGUUUGUCACUGCUUUUCUUUGCUCUUCAGCUUUGAGCUUUUCACUCUCGUGCUGUGUCUGAAACAAAUUUAGUCCUUGUCUGAUAUUUUCUCCCUCUUUGAAGUAAAUGCCUUCAAAAUAAGCCCCCUCACUUUUCAUUUCCUUCAAUGGCUUACGUUUGUGCGCUGUUGUCAUGUGUGAGUGAGACGUAUCUUAGAGAUGCUUUUGUAAAGUUUGCAGAUUAAUGGUGGGACACAAAUGUGCUCUGGGAGGAUGCAGGAGGGCACAGCCAGCACCAUGUGGUGCAGGUGGAAUCCCACAGUGGGUGUCCUAGAAAAGUUCUGACUCCCUUCUGCCUUAACCACCCUGCUGGAUCGUGUGGAUUUGUGCAUGAGAUCUCUUCAUCUACCACACGAGGUGGUAAUUCCAGCUGAUCUCCAAAACAGGAGUCAACGUGCUGAGAUGAUUUUACUUUAUUAGGUAUUCAUUUAGGAAGAAAUAAAGCUCAAGGAUGGGAACAAUAGCUAUAUAAAAUAUUCAGAGUGAUUUCUGAAGAAAUUUUAUGAUGUUUCAGGUCAUAAAUUUCCACCUCAAGUAGAAUUCUGAAAAGAUUCUGCAAAUGAAGGGGGAAUUUAUUGCCUGAAAUACCAGAUUUAUUCUUAACAUCCAGCAAAAUGUGGAGUAUGGGAAAGGAUGGGGGAAGGGUUCUUGCUUUUAUCAGGUGAGGAACAUGCUGUAACAUUUUGGAGUUUCCAGGUCAGCCCUUGCUGAAUGUGUCUUUAAAAAUAUCACACCAGAGGGAAUUGUAGAUUAUUCAUGCAGGCAACUUCAUGCUCUCACAUUUUAGUUUCUUUUCUGAAGGAAAUGCUUCCUGAUGGUGGGAGAAGUGAUGAGUCAGGAUAGCACAUCUUGGGCUACCUCUAAUCCUUGGUGCCUUUGGGAAGCCAUUUUGUCAAUCCAUGCUUCAGUUGCAAAGAAAAAAUCAGGUUGUAAAAAUGAAGGUGUAAUUUUCAAUGUUUGAUAUUGCUUUAAAAACUUGUCAAGAUUAUAAGCUAGAACAGAAAUGCCUCAUAUACUGACUUUUACAAUUUCAUUCUUUUCUAAUAUUCUGCUAAAAAGAACUGGUAAUUUCAAAUAUUUGGUCUGAUGACAAACGCAGGUAAAACUUAGAAUUUCUUACUGGUUGGAAGACUAAACUGUUUUCUUCUUUUGGUAAGAAAGAGGAAAUGCAGUAUUUAAUAAAAGCCAACUACAGGUGGAUGGCUGCAGGAUUCUGCCUGGUUGAUUAUGCCAGACUUAGAGAUGGGGAUCAAAAAAGUGUGAAAAGUAUGAAAAUUCCUAUAAUCAACUUUAGUUCCACUCCUAACUUCACCAUAGAUGAGUUUGUUGGUUUUAAUUAAAAGAGAUCUGGUUAGAGAGCAUGUUAAAACUGCUCUAAGAAGAUAAAUAUUACAGAUGAGCAUCCUUCUUAAUGUAGGUGAAAAAGAAACCCUGAUAUUUUUAAGGGUUUGUUGUUGGGGUUUUUUUUCCUGAGAAGAUGGGGUAUCUGUUUGGCCAUUUACAUACUGGACAGAAAAUUGUGGGGGCUCAGGUGCUCACACUUCAGAGAUUUGAAUUCUUAGUAGCGCUUAAUUUUAAGGUGUAGCAAAUCUUCCAGUGCUGUAACUGAAGGAUGACUUCCAUUGACAGGAAGAAUAAAGACUUUUUUUUUUUUUUACCUUUCCUGAAUAUGUUUAAAUGUUUUUAUUGGUUCUUAAUAAAUUUUGCACUCUGUUUUUAAAUUAUUCUUUAAUUUUCAGCUUCUUAGUCGCUGUGCCCUGGAGGUCAGCCCACCUUGAGCCUGUGUGCAGCAGAAGUCAAGACUUGUCCUCCCUUUGGCUUCCAUUUUUUUGAGAGCUGUUUCCAGUUCCAGCCUCAGUGGAGCAAUGAAAAUUGCCAGUUCAGAGGAAAAUUUGCAGCUGAAAUUUGAUGCCUGUUUUUAGAGACAUCUGUCACAAAAGAGUUUAGGUUCUAGUAGUUUUAGCAAUGUGGUCCAAGUUCUCAUAUCUUUGAAAGUAGCCCCUAAUAACAAUCAUCUUUGGGUUUGUUAAUUCCAGCAAAUGAACUUUGGUGUUGGUAAUAUAAUACUGGAGCUGUGAACUUCUUCCCAGCAUGGGAAUUCUUCAUUUUAAUGUCUCACUGAGACAGUUUUGUGCAGCUGAAUUUGCAUUUUCAAAACAAGUUUCAUAAUGGUAGCAUUAACUCUGAAAAUAUGUUGUUCCUUUUUAUUUUGCAGUUGCUGGCAAAGUAACAGCAGAAUGUUUUAUUUAUAGGUGACUUAGAAGAGAAAUGCCCAGUGUGCUCCUGUUUCUGUGACUGGAUUAAAGUGACCUGGAAGCUGAUUUGCAGUGAGCAAUCAGCGAAGCCACACAGGAUUUUGUGGAAUAUUGCAUGAUCUCAUCAUGAAGAUCUCUCUCCUGCAGCAGAUGUAUAAGGAUGUCCUGGCAGGCACUCCCCUAGCAAGGGAAAGCCAUCAUUAUUCCUCUUUAAUUAAUCUGUGUGUGGAGCAGCCACCAGAAGGAGAUGGAUCCUGUCAUCAGCAGCACCUGCCAUCUUCUGCUGGUGGCACUGGGAGCCAUCAGGACUCUGAUAUGUCAGAUGUUGUCCCUGCAACAGAUGAUUUAUCCAAGAGCUUUGCAAACAUGAGCUCCUCAUUCUGCCCACGGGAGGUGAUGCUGCUCCAGCUCACCCUGAUCAAAAUGAUGGUGGCCAAAGCAGAGUCCCAGGAGACUGAGCUCCACACGAGACAGAAGUACUGUGAAAUCUUUGUUCUUCUUCUGAAGGAGGCAAAAAUUGACUCAAAAUUGAUUCACCUGCUGGGUUCUGAUGAUCGGCUGUUAUCUCACAUGGCCUCACAAAGUUUGGCAUCUCUUGUGUAUUUCCAGCUGAAGGAAGAGGACGCUGUGAACGUGCCGUGGCUGCGCUUCAGCCUGGCCGCGCUGCUGGGGCUCCCCGGGAGCGCGGGGGUGCCCGCUUGCCUGUGGACGCUGGCGGCGAUUCUCAAGGAGACGCGGAAGGACGCGCCCGCAGCCCGAGCAGGUGCUCUGAAGAAGCUGUUGGCUCCUCUUGAUGCAGUGCUUGAAGGAUUUUAUAAUGCCAUCCUGCUCCAUCAUUUUGAGAGUCACCACUACACUUCACCUUAUUCUGAAGCUGCAAAGAAUCUGAUCAGUUUUAUAGAUCUGCUUGAAGCACUUUUGGUUUCCAGAACUGAACUGGAAUUACCAUUCAGGUGCCAGAGAAUUUUAUUUUUGAAAGUCUCUUAUGUCCUCAAUGUUAUUAGCUCAUCGAUUCCGUAUGUAAUCAAGAAGAAAUUCAUUUUGCUCCUUAAAAAAUGUGUCCUUUGCAAGUCUAGAGAAGAUGCUAAAGGUGGAUCACAGUUCUUACAAACCCCAUCUUUGUGUGAGGAUAUGCUUGCACUGAGUAAUGUUGUUCUGCAGGUUGUGAAUUUGACUUGGCUUAAUCAGAUCCCACUCAGUGGGAAGUCCAGCUACUUUGGAAGCAGUGAAACUGCUCCUGGACAUGAUUCUCAAGGUGCUUCUGACCAAACUGUCCUUAGAGCCUUAAGUCUGGUUGUGCUUAAAGCACUGGAAUUCAAGAUUCACAACUCUGCAACAGAAGCAGAAAUCAAAGCCCUGCAAUAUGUUGGGCUUGAAACAGCUGCAUUUGGGAUUGAAAUUUUUACCUGUUAAGAACAUUAAGCCAGCUUGAGAACACCAGGCUCUUCUUCAGCUGGACAAGAAGAGUCCCUAGCACAAGCAUCUGCUCAGUUCAGGGUGGGGAACUGAAAGGAGCUGCAGGUAACACUCUUCUCUUUUCUAAGGUGGAGGUAGAACUUCAAGCACCAUUAUGUAUUUAUUUUACUGAAGGUACAAGGCAUUACUGUCAGCCAAGUAAUGUCAUGAGGCAAAACCAGCUGGGGUAUACUAGGUAAUAAAGGUAAAUAAAAAUAAGGAAGUGCCAAAGUAAGGCACAGGGGAAUUGUGGGACACAGAAUCACAGAAUGGCUUGGGUUAGAAGGGGCUUUAAAGAUCAUCCAGUUCCAACCCCUGCAUGGGCAGGGACACUUUCCAUUAGACCAGCUUGCUCCAGGCCCUGUCCAGUCUGGUCUGGACACUUCAGGAAUGGGGCAGCCACAUCUUCUCUGGUCUGUGCUAAGUCCUCACCAGCCUCUCAGAGAAGACUUUCCUCCUAGUAUCCAAUCUAACCCUGCCCUCUGGCAGUGGGAAGCCAUUCCCCCUAGUCCUCUCCUUCCAGGCCCUUGUCCAACAUCCUUCUCCAGCUCUUUUGGAGCAUCUGUAGGCCCUGGAAGGGGCUCUAAGGUCUCCCUGGAGCCUUCUCUUCUCCAGGUGAGCACCCCCAGCUCUGCCAGCCUGGCCCAGAGCAUCUCUGUGGCCUCCUCUGGACUGGCUCCAGCAGCUCCACAUCCUCCCCAUGUAAAUGGUUGUGUUGUUUUUCGCCUGGCUGACACAUCUGGCCCUUCCAGUUACCAGGUGUGAGCAUUCCUCCCCCAGCUGCUGCCUGGGGCUGGGCUGGGCAGGAGAAGGGCAGAGCUGCUGCUGUGCCAGGGCUGGGCUGGGCCAGCAAUAAUCUGUUUACUGAUGAUGUGGCCAAAAGUAAUUUCUGUUUCUUUUUAAACAAGGGUGAAAUUUUACAGCACUUUAAAUACAUUGAGGCAUUUUAGUAGAAGUUCUAGACAUAAAUAUUAUUUCACUUUUUAUAUUUCUAUAUUAGGCAGCAAGCCUGAAAUCAAUUUUAAUUCAUCCAUGUGAAAGAGCUACACCUUCCAUAAGACAGCUUGUGAAACUUUUUCCAGAUUUUUGGAAGAUGUUAUAUUUGUGAUGUCAGUUGCAUUCUUAAAGAUUUUUAAGUAUUUGUAAAGAAUAUUUUACUUGUGAUCCACCUUCUGAAAAAUGUAUGGAGACUGAGACUGUGAAAAAGCAAGUGAAAAGAAAAAAUGUAGGCUAUAUCCAUUUUAGAUGUCUCUGUGAAAAUUCUUUCUCAUUCUCCUUUCUUUUCCAGAUUCAUGACAUAAAAAUGAGUUUUUUAAUUAGAUUCAAACACCCCAACUGUCAAGAGGAAUUUCAAUCUGAAAAGAAUGGAGACUUUGAGAGCUCCA